rnacentral:sRNA from 1 species
AAAAAAAUUACAGAACAAGAAGAUUAACUUUGUAAGAAGAAGAAAAAAA